rnacentral:rRNA from 1 species
CGGAGGGGGCUAGCGUUGUUCGGAAUUACUGGGCGUAAAGCGCGCGUAGGCGGACCUGCAAGUCGGGGUGAAAGCCCGAGGCUCAACCUCGGAACUGCCUUCGAUACUGCGGGUCUCGAGUCCGGGAGAGGUGAGUGGAAUUCCUAGUGUAGAGGUGAAAUUCGUAGAUAUUAGGAAGAACACCAGUGGCGAAGGCGGCUCACUGGCCCGGUACUGACGCUGAGGCGCGAAAGCGUGGGGAGCAAACAGGAUUAGAUACCCUGGUAGUCCACGCCGUAAACUAUGGGUGCUAGCCGUCGGUCGGCAUGCCGGUCGGUGGCGCAGCCAACGCAUUAAGCACCCCGCCUGGGGAGUACGGUCGCAAGAUUA